CAAAGGGGGAUUGCUUUUAUUUGGAUACACACAAUCAACAUGUUAUGUAAUUCAAAAUAUGAGUUACCAACGAAAAGGUUUAGAUCAGCUAUGGAGACCUACAGAAAGGCAGUUUGCCAACCCUGUGAAUGAAGAGAAGAGGCUGCACAAAACCAGGCAGAAAGAAACAUGUAAGACUCAGUGAUUCUAGCACACGGCUAUAAGGUAUUGAUAGAAUAUAUUGUAACGUUGUGAUUGAACUGGGGACAUAAGUGAUUACUAAAGUCACAGUAGUUAUUAGAAUGAUUAGAAACGCUUUUCUCUUUAUGUGAUUUUCUUCAUCUCUCUGUCUUCCUCUCUCUCCAGGUCCGGGCUUCUUCAGAGCUCUGAGAACAGCCAAACAGCAGAACAGGUUUAUGGUGAGGAAAACUGUGUAGUGUACCAGAAAUGUAAGGCUGUCUUCAGUGCAUCAGUGAUCAGUGCAGUUCUCACACAAAAUCUACAGCGCUGGAUAUGUUGCAUGUCAGGUUUAUUAUUCUAUGCAAAUUGGAAUAUGAAUUUGGUGAUUUAUGAGUGUUAACAUAGAAAAGUUAACUACUUCAUUAGUCAUUAGUUAACCACUGAUUCCUAGAUUCUCACAUAUUCGUAUUUAAAAAUACUUGAGGAAGGUAAUGAUUUCUUAUUUACCCGAUAAUAGCAGGAUACUAUAGGUCUUUAUAUACUUAAUAAAUAGACAAAUAAUUGAGAAUAAAUAAAAUAG
ensembl:lncRNA